rnacentral:rRNA from 1 species
GAUCAUGGCUCAGGAUGAACGCUGGCGGCGUGCUUAACACAUGCAAGUCGAACGAUGAAAGCGGGAGCUUGCUCCUGCUGGAUUAGUGGCGAACGGGUGAGUAACACGUGAGUAACCUGCCCUUGACUCUGGGAUAAGCGUUGGAAACGACGUCUAAUACCGGAUACGACCUUCGGAGGCAUCUCCUGGGGGUGGAAAGAAUUUCGGUCAAGGAUGGACUCGCGGCCUAUCAGCUAGUUGGUGAGGUAAUGGCUCACCAAGGCGACGACGGGUAGCCGGCCUGAGAGGGUGACCGGCCACACUGGGACUGAGACACGGCCCAGACUCCUACGGGAGGCAGCAGUGGGGAAUAUUGCACAAUGGGCGCAAGCCCUGAUGCAGCAACGCCGCGUGAGGGACGACGGCCUUCGGGUUGUAAACCUCUUUUAGUAGGGAAGAAGCGAAAGUGACGGUACCUGCAGAAAAAGCACCGGCUAACUACGUG